rnacentral:rRNA from 1 species
UACAGAGGAUGCAAGCGUUAUCCGGAAUGAUUGGGGCGUAAAGCGUCUGUAGGUGGCUUUUUAAGUCCGCCGUCAAAUCCCAGGGCUCAACUCUGGACAGGCGGUGGAAACUACCAAGUUGGAGUACGGUAGGGGCAGAGGGAAUUUCCGGUGGAGCGGUGAAAUGCGUAGAGAUCGGAAAGAACACCAACGGCGAAAGGCACUCUGCUGGGGCCGACACUGACACUGAGAGACGAAAGCUAGGGGAGCGAAUGGG